UAGAAUCUCAAGUGUCAUCCAAAGGCAG
rnacentral:piRNA from 1 species